GGGAUGGCAGAGUGGUAACGCGCUGGACUUCCCAUGACUGGAACAGACUCGAGAUCCAGUAGUCCUUGGGACUACAUGGGUUCAAAUCCCAUUCCC
rnacentral:tRNA from 1 species